rnacentral:rRNA from 1 species
AGCGAACGCUGGCGGCAGGCUUAACACAUGCAAGUCGAGCGGGCACUUUCGGGUGUCAGCGGCGGACGGGUGAGUAACGCGUGGGAACGUGCCCUCUGGUUCGGAAUAACUCAGGGAAACUUGAGCUAAUACCGGAUACGCCCUUUUGGGGAAAGGCUCGCUGCCGGAGGAUCGGCCCGCGUCUGAUUAGCUAGUUGGUGAGGUAACGGCUCACCAAGGCGACGAUCAGUAGCUGGUCUGAGAGGAUGAUCAGCCACACUGGGACUGAGACACGGCCCAGACUCCUACGGGAGGCAGCAGUGGGGAAUAUUGGACAAUGGGCGCAAGCCUGAUCCAGCCAUGCCGCGUGAGUGAUGAAGGCCUUAGGGUUGUAAAGCUCUUUUAUCCGGGACGAUAAUGACGGUACCGGAGGAAUAAGCCCCGGCUAACUUCGUG